rnacentral:rRNA from 1 species
AUUGAACGCUGGCGGCAGGCCUAACACAUGCAAGUCGAACGAGUGGCGGACGGGUGAGUAAUGUCUGGGAAACUGCCUGAUGGAGGGGGAUAACUACUGGAAACGGUAGCUAAUCCCGCAUACCAUCGGAUGUGCCCAGAUGGGAUUAGCUAGUAGGUGGGGUAAAGGCUCACCUAGGCGACGAUCCCUACCUGGUCUGAAAGGAGGACCAGCAACACGGGAACGGAGAAACGGUCAAGACUCAUAGGGGAGGCAGCAGGGGGGAAUAUUGCACAAGGGGCGCAAGGCUGAUACAGCCAUGCCGCGUGUAUGAAGAAGGCCUUCGGGUUGUAAAGUACUUUCAGCGGGGAGGCGUUACCCGCAGAAGAAGCACCGGCUAACUCCGUGCCAGCAGCCGCGGUAAUUC